GGAGGUGUAGCUCAGUGGUAGAGCGCAUGCAUGGCAUGCACGAGGUCCUGGGCUCCAUCCCCAGUGCCUCCG
rnacentral:tRNA from 1 species